UCUCUGGUGGCUCAGAGGGUAAAGCAUCUGCCUGCAAUGCAGGAGACUUGGGUUUGAUCCCUGGGCGGGGAA
rnacentral:tRNA from 1 species